rnacentral:rRNA from 1 species
GACGAACGCUGGCGGCGUGCUUAACACAUGCAAGUCGAACGAAGUGGCGAACGGGUGAGUAACGCGUAAUCAACCUGCCCUUCCGAGGGGGCUAACAGUUGGAAACGCCUGCUCAUACCGCAUACUGAAGGAGGGGAUUGCGUCUGAUUAGCGAGUUGGAUGGGUAACGGCCCACCAAGGCGAUGAUCAGUAGCCGGUCAGAGAGGAUGAACGGCAACAUUGGGACUGAGCAACGGCCCAGACUCCUACGGGAGGCAGCAGUGGGGAAUCUGCCGCAAUGGACGAAAGUCUGACGGAGCAACGCCGCGUGAGUGAUGACGGCCUUCGGGUUGUAAAGCUCUGUUAAUCGGGACGCGGUACCGGAAUAGAAAGCCACGGCUAACUACGUGCCAGCAGCCGCGGUAAUUC